CUGUGUCUUGAAACUAAAACAAUUAUAAUUGGCAGACUCGUAUUAGACCUUAAAACACACACAAAAACUGCUGCCUUCGCUUAAAUAUUUAUUAUUUAUCAUUUGGUGCAACAAAAAUUUUGACACCAAAUAAUAAACAUUUGAGCGAAGUCAACAGGUUUUUUGUGUUUUUCAAUGCCUAAUAUGUGUCUUCCAUGCUGAUUAGAGAUAGAGAAUGAGUUGGAUACAGAGAAUAUCAGUUCAGUGGAAGGGAGACGAAGGAAGGAAAUAGGGUAACAGAACAGAUUGAUGGAAGAAUGAGCAUUAGAAGAGGAGUUGUGGAGGAUGGAUUAACAGU